rnacentral:pre_miRNA from 13 species
CGAUCGGCCUUGUUCCUGAGCCGCUGGAUUCGGGGCCGAGACACUGUCUGAGGGGUUUACGAGUCUCACAGUGAACCGGUCUCUUUUUCAGUUGCUCCCUGGCUGCUUUUCCCUGU